UACGUAGGGUGCAAGCGUUGUCCGGAAUUAUUGGGCGUAAAGAGCUUGUAGGCGGUUUGUCGCGUCUGCUGUGAAAUUUCGGGGCUCAACCCCGAACUUGCAGUGGGUACGGGCAGACUAGAGUGUGGUAGGGGAGACUGGAAUUCCUGGUGUAGCGGUGAAAUGCGCAGAUAUCAGGAGGAACACCAGCGGCAAAGGCAGCGUCCUGGGAAGUGACUGACGCUCAUGUGCGAAAGCUAGGGGAGCGAACGGG
rnacentral:rRNA from 1 species